AUAUAUAUAUAUAUAUAUAUAUAUAUAUAUAUAUAUAUGAAUUUUCUACAUGUUAUCUUAAGAGUUUUUCCAUUGUUUUAGUAUAACAUUAUAAUACCAUUCAUAUUUACUUUUUUUGUAAAAACUUUUUAAUAUAAUUUAAAGAAACCAAUCCGAUUUAUAGUUGCCAUUUGAGGCUUAAUACUAUAGAAAAGCACUCAAAGUUUUUUAGCUUGUUUAUUUUACUAUGAAAAUAUGGUAUGCAGUUGCAUCAAACAAUGGUAUAAACAUCAAUGUAAAUUGUGAGAAUCCUAAUUAAUAAAUCACAAUUACAAUUUCAAGGCAAUAAUCUACAAUUAUGAUUUUUGUCAUAAUCAUACAGCCAUAACUACAGUCACAACAAUGACAGCUUCAGCAAACAUAUUGCUGUACCCUAAAGAUUUGCAACACAUAAAAUGUGGGCAAUUCCCAUUUAAUCUCACAAGCCUGCUUUUAAUUAAAACAAUAGUGCAUUCAAUGAUACAUUCAUUCAUUCUGUUAUUGUUUUGGUCCAGCUUAGAAUGAAUGAAUGAAUGAACUAAUUAAUUAAGCUACAUUAGCUAACACAUUGUCAUCACAAAUCAUAAACUAAUACAAAAAAAAAGUGUCUAGAAAGUGUCAACAAUCACUCUACAAUGUUUGUUUUGAUGGAGUAAACAUCACAGGGGGUGGGGACAGAAUAUGCUUGUGACCUCACUCCAUUCAUGUUUUGCCUGUAGCCAUUCAACCAAUCCCAUCCCACGUGUGUCUAAAUGUCCAGGUCAUCAAUUGCACUUCGUACGGUCCCAGGGACGUGUCGGACGGACGUCUUUUCAACGGUCAACAGACGUCCGAAUGUUUGCUGGGACGGCACGAAAUUUUUUUUUUUUUUUUUUUUUUUUUUAAUAUCAUGACAUGGCGGAGCGCAAGAAAAAAAUGCAUUCUGAAGCUGCUCACUUAGGCGAUCUGGCUCGUCUCAGUCUGCUCAAUCGUGGUGAUGUCAGUGCCCUAAAAGAUGUUAUAAUGGACUAUUUCACAUCCAGAGAUGAAGGAUUGGAUGAAGUUACUAAAGAGGAGGAGUCCGAUGACAGUCUGUUAUAUGCACAGCUGUCCUCAAGAAGAAGAAAAUCAGAAAAUGCAUGAGGGUUGGCGUCCUCGCGCUCCUGCAGUUUGCUCGCGCGCGCGUGCAAGAGCGAUUUCAAAUAGAAAGAAAGUAAGGGUUGCUUUCCUCAAAGAAACAACCGCCGCACAGGGUGAGUAAAGGCUCCAAUAUAAAUACACAGAUUUAUUAUUUGUACACUAAUUCCUAGACUGACAAGCUUAACUGUAUGUUUUUAUUUUAAAAUGUUUGUUUUAACCAUUAAUUUAAUAGCCGCGAUGCCUUUGUAAACUUUGUGUGAAUUGUGUCCUGUGUGAAUUUUCAGCAGGGGUUCAGAUAAAAAAUCGGCAGCUGGCAGCAGGAAGUGGCUGCCAUUGACAGCCGGAAGGCAGUUACUGGCAGCCGGAAGGUAGGCGGGACCUGCCACUCGGUGGCAGCCAAUCAGAAUCGACCAACGUGGAAGCAACCAAUCACAUAUAACUACAACAGCAGCCAAAUGCUUUAGUAAUGGCGGCGAUUGAUCGAGCGUUAAGUUCGGAAAUUGGUGAUCGGAGUAAUGAAUAAUUUUUGCGUUGUAAGUUUGAUUUUAAUUGUUAUCUUAGUGAACGACAGUGUAACUUUGCCUACUUUAGUUUAAUUGUUCAAUGUAAUCUAAUUAGUGGUAGAAACGUAGUUUGUGUACAAUGUUACAUCAUGUAUAAUUAAGUUGGCUUGAGAAAGCCAACUUACUGAAAUUGUAUUUAAACUUCUUCUUUUUCUUCUUCUUCUUCUUCUUCUGACCCAAAAUUUUCAACUGCUACUCCUCCUAGAGCUUUAACUCUACAGACUCCAAACUCAGCCCAGAUCCUCAGACUGAUCUGAAGUUAGUUUGCUAUAUCUUUUUAGACUGAUUGGACUUACAGUUUUCAUAAAAAUGAAGAUUAAAAAUCAUAAAAAUCCCAUAGACUUAUAUUGAAAAGCCUGAAGCCCAUUAGACUCAAUCAGACUUACCUUCUAUGUACUAUUACUAACCCAUUCAAACUCAUUCAGACUCAUCUAUCUAUC
ensembl:lncRNA